GAUGAACGCUGACAGAAUGCUUAACACAUGCAAGUCUUUGGCGAAGCUGUGCUUGCACAGCCUAGCCAAGGCGGACGGGUGAGUAACGCGUAAGGAACUUGCCCUGCAGUCAGGGAUAACAGACGGAAACGACUGAUAAGACCUGGUAAAGUCAGGCGGACUCAUGUCCAGCCUGAUGAAAAGAGAUGCUGCAGGAGAGCCUUGCGUCCUAUUAGCUUGUUGGUGGGGUAACGGCCCACCAAGGCGAUGAUAGGUAGCCGGCCUGAGAGGGUGGACGGCCACAAGGGGACUGAGAUACGGCCCUUACUCCUACGGGAGGCAGCAGUGGGGAAUAUUGGACAAUGGGGGCAACCCUGAUCCAGCAACUCUGUGUGCACGAUGAAGGUUUUCGGAUUGUAAAGUGCUUUCAGCAGGGAAGAAAAAAAUGACGGUACCUGCAGAAGAAGCGACGGCUAAAUACGUG
rnacentral:rRNA from 1 species